AUAUACCCUCAUGAUAUAGGUGACAUCCAUAGAAGUUUUAAUAAUGGGUUGAUUACCUCAAGAACAAGUACAGAAUAUACGAGCGAAUGUAUAACCAUUAUGGGUGAGGUGAGAAAAAUGAAAUUUGGGUUAUUUGAGCCAAAUCACUUUGUAUAUACCUCCAACCACCAUGAAAAAAGACAAAACGUUUAAGAGUGCCAGUAACGACCAGUUUCCUGUGAGAGAUCUAUAUCAACGCUACGACGAGUAAAGACAUAUUCAAGAAACUUGAUGACCCAGGGUCAAUUUAAUGGCUUGGUGUUGCUAAAUAUCCACAUCGAGAUGAAAAUAAAUUUAGAUGACAUAAUCGAUAUGCUGGCAAAAAAUAUCCAGAAAGACUUAAAAUGUUAAAUAUCCUGAACGACGAUUAAAAGUGUAGCAGUCUUGAUAAAAAAGGAAUAAAUCUUGUAUAUUA